rnacentral:rRNA from 1 species
AUGAACGCUAGCGGUGUGCCUGAGAUAUGCAAGUCGAGCGUCUUUUUUCCCGCAAGGGAGAAAGGUAGCGGCGGACGGCUGAGUAACACGUAGAAAUCUGCCCCUUUCUGGGGGAUAGCUCCGCGAAAGCGGAGAUAAUACCCCAUGGUCUCCGACGUAAGUCGAGAGUAAAGAUUUAUCGGAAAGGGAUGAGUCUGCGUCCUAUCAGGUAGUUGGUAAGGUAACGGCUUACCAAGCCUAUAACGGGUAGCUGGUCUGAGAGGAUGACCAGCCAGAGGGGGACUGCGACACGGCCCCCACUCCUACGGGAGGCAGCAAUCAGGAAUAGUCGGCAAUGGGCGCAAGCCUGACCGCGCGACACCGCGUGAGGGAUGAAGUUCGAAAGAGCGUAAACCUCUGUGGCAGGGGAAGAAAAAAAUGACGGUACCCUGCUAGAAAGAAGCCGCUAACUGCGUGCCAGAAGCGUCGGUAACACGUGGGCUUCAAGCGUUAUCCGGUAUUAUUGGGCGUAAAGGGUCGUGUAGGUGGUCUAACAAGUUAUCUUUUAAAUCUCCACGCUUAACGUGGAUUCAGGGGAUAAGACUGUUAGACUAGAGUUUCCUUAAGGGAGAUUGGAACUGAGGGAGGAGUAGUGAAAUGCGUUGAUACCCUCGGGAACACUAGUGGCGAAGGCGGAUCUCUGGAAGGGGACUGACACUGAGACACGAAAGCUAGGGGAGCGAAGCAGAUUAGAGACCUGCGUAGUCCUAGCCCUAAACGAAUGCUUGCUGGCUGCAUUUUUUCCCGAGCAAUCGGGAUUAAGUGUGGCGAAGGUAACCCGUUAAGCAAGCCGCCUGGGGAGUACGGCCGCAAGGCUAAAACUCAAAGGAAUUGGCGGGGAGGCACACAACCAGUGGAACAUGUGGUUCAAUUCGAUACGAACCGAAGAACCUCACCAAGGCUUGACAUGCUAGCGUUCUAUUUCGAUGAAAGUCGAGAAAGUCCGCAAGGAGGCUAGCACAGGUGCUGCAUGGCUGUCGUCAGUUCGUUCCGUGAGGAGUGCCCUUAAGUGGGACAACGAACGCAACCCCUAUCUCGCGUUAGAUAUGUCGCGAGAGACUGCCCCGACUUUGUCGGGGAGGAAGGAGGGGCAGACGUCAAGUCAGCAUGGUCCUUAUGCCUUGGGCUACACACAUGUUACAAUGAAGAGUAACAAUGGGCAUUGCCAACUCGUAAGAGUGAGCUAAUCCCAGAAAUCUUUUCUCAAUAGGGAUUGAGGUCUGAAACUCGACCUCAUGAACAUGGAAUUGGUAGUAAUCGCGGGUCAGCUACACCGCGGUGAAUACGUUCUUGCCUCUUGCACACACCGCCCGUCAAACGAACAAAGUCGAAAAUACUUGAAUUCCGAUUUAUCGGGAGAGGGUAUUCUUGGCGAUGAGCGUU